rnacentral:rRNA from 1 species
GAUGAACGCUAGCGGCAGGCCUAAUACAUGCAAGUCGAACGGUGUCUUCGGACAUAGUGGCGCACGGGUGCGUAACACGUAUGCAACCUACCUUACAUUGGGGGAUAGCCUUUCGAAAGGGAGAUUAAUACCGCAUAAGACAGUAGCUGGGCAUCCAGCAGCUGUUAAAGAUUUAUCGAUGUAAGCUGGGCAUGCGUCCAAUUAGCUAGUUGGUGAGGUAACGGCUCACCAAGGCAAUGAUUGGUAGGGGAACUGAGAGGUCAAUCCCCCACACUGGCACUGAGAUACGGGCCAGACUCCUACGGGAGGCAGCAGUAGGGAAUAUUGGGCAACGGACGCAAGGCUGACCCAGCCAUGCCGCGUGCAGGAUGAAGGCGUUAUGCGUUGUAAACUGCUUUUAUACAGGAAGAAACGACUCUUGCGAGAGGCAUUGACGGUACUGUAUGAAUAAGCACCGGCUAACUCCGUGCCAGCCGCCGCGGUAAAAC